UACGUAGGUGGCAAGCGUUGUCCGGAUUUACUGGGCGUAAAGAGCGCGCAGGCGGUCGUUCAAGUCGCGUGUGAAAGCCCCCGGCUCAACUGGGGAGGGUCACGCGAUACUGAUCGACUGGAAGGCAGGAGAGGGUAGUGGAAUUCCCGGUGUAGUGGUGAAAUGCGUAGAUAUCGGGAGGAACACCAGUGGCGAAGGCGACUUCCUGGCCUGUUCUUGACGCUGAGGCGCGAAAGCUAGGGGAGCAAACGGGG
rnacentral:rRNA from 1 species